CUUCCAGUAGCACCUUAGAGACCAAGUUUGUUAUUGGCAUGAGCUUUCAUGUGCAUGCACACUUCUAAGACCAAUAACAAACUUAGCUGGUCUCUAAGGUGCUACUGGAAG